UACGUAGGGUGCAAGCGUUGUCCGGAAUUAUUGGGCGUAAAGAGCUCGUAGGCGGUCUGUCACGUCGGCUGUGAAAACCCGAGGCUCAACCUCGGGCCUGCAGUCGAUACGGGCAAACUAGAGUACUGCAGGGGAGACUGGAAUUCCUGGUGUAGCGGUGAAAUGCGCAGAUAUCAGGAGGAACACCAGUGGCGAAGGCGACUUUCUGGCCUGUUCUUGACGCUGGAGGCGCGAAAGCUAGGGGAGCAAACGGG
rnacentral:rRNA from 1 species